GAUGAACGCUCGCGAUAGGCUUAACACAUGCAAGUCGAGGGGCAGCACAAGGUAGCUUGCUAUCUGGGUGGCGACCGGCGCACGGGUGCGUAACGCGUAUGCAACUUGCCCUAUACAGGAGGAUAACCCGUCGAAAGACGGACUAAUACUGCGUAUGCUCACAACUUGGCAUCAAGUGGUGAGGAAAGAAAUUCGGUAUAGGAUAGGCAUGCGUCCCAUUAGCUUGUUGGUGAGGUAACGGCUCACCAAGGCAACGAUGGGUAGGGGAACUGAGAGGUUUAUCCCCCACACUGGUACUGAGACACGGACCAGACUCCUACGGGAGGCAGCAGUGAGGAAGAUUGGGCAAUGGGCGCGAGCCUGAACCAGCCAAGUCGCGUGAAGGAUGACUGUCUUAUGGAUUGUAAACUUCUUUUAUACGGGAAUAACAAGAGUCACGGGUGACUCCCUGCAGGUACCGUAUGAAUAAGCAUCGGCUAACUCCGUG
rnacentral:rRNA from 1 species